GUGCUCACUUCAGCAGCACAUAGACUAAAAUUGCAACAAUACAGAGAAGAUUGGCCCCUGAGCAAGGAUGACAGUCAAAUCUGUGAAGUGUUCCAUAUGUUG